AUGGUUUUCCUACCUGGAGUGAGAAGUUAAAGGAAGUUCCUUGGAAUGUCAGUGUGAGGAUGGAAACAAUGAUAACGAUCAGUCAUACAGAUUUCCUUCCUAGGGUGAGAAGUUGAAGGAAGUUCGUUGGAAUGUCAGUGCGGGGAUGGAAACAAUGGUUCGAUCAAAGUCGCAUGGCCAUUUCUGGUUUUCCUUCCUGGAGUGAGAAGAUAAAGGAAGUUCUUUGGAAUGUCAGUGCGAGAAUGAAAACGAUAAUUCGAUCAAAAUCAUACAGUCAUUUCUGGUUUUCCUUCCUGGAGUGAGAAGUUGAAGGAAGUUCAUUGGAAUGUCAGUGCGGGGAUGGAAACAAUGAUCCGAUCAAAGUCAUACAGCCAUUUCUGGUUUCCCUUCCUGGAGUCAAUAGCUGAAGGAUGUUGGAAUGUCAAUGGGGGAAUGGAAAUGAUGAUCCGAUCAAUGCAACAAGGAAUCAUCAUCCCCAUCAUCUGGAUGCCUCUCGUCGUCGUUCUUCCAUCGAGGGACCGGGUACAUCGCGGGUGAUUACGGGCGGGAGUGUUCUGGAGCUUCCAGAUUCGAACUUCGAAGGCUCCAGCACUCGGAACUUCGGAAUUUCCGUGAUACCGAGUCCUGGAGACUUUGAAAUUCGAAUCUCAAGGUCUCCAAAACUACGGGUCUCGAAAUUUUCGAGAUCCUUAUUUUUGGAGACUAAGAGAUUCGAAUUUCAAUGUUUCCAGGUCUUAGUACCACGGAACUUCCGAACUACGCGUGCUGGGGGCUUCUAGUUCGAAUCCGGGGCUCCAGUCGUCGGGCGUUGUCCCGGACGGUCUUCGAAUUAAAAAAACCUUUAGCGCUAAACCUGGUAGGCCUGAAAAUUUUUUUUUUGUCUAAAUAAAACAACUACGUAUUAUAUAUAUCUUU